CAACUUACACCUCCUGGGUUCAAGCGAUUCUCCUACCUCAGCCUCCCGAGUAGCUGGGAUUACAGAACCAGCAUCAAGAAAAGUUGAUAGUUGAUACUUUAGCCACUCCCCAGCCAUCUGGAAGCUAGUUUUGGGAUCCAAACGACAUGCCAACCUCAUCACCUCUCCUUGCUGGGCUCGGGAGGCUGCCAAGGGAAAAUGCCAAGGGAAGGACAGGAAUCAACAACUGGUAUAAAAUAGGUACUUAAUGUUUAUUAAUUUACCACCCUAGGGGAAAAGCAUUCAAAAGAACUGUUUUGCAGACUUGUGCUUUGCAUGUAAUAAUCAAUAAAACUUUAUUAAUGAAUCCAGAAUUUUUUAAAAAUAAAUGAUCUCUGGAAGCUAUAUUA